rnacentral:rRNA from 1 species
GAACGGGUGAGUAAUGCAUCGGAACGUACCCAGUAGUGGGGGAUAACUUACCGAAAGGUAAGCUAAUACCGCAUACGCACUGAGGUGGAAAGCAGGGGACCGCAAGGCCUUGCGCUAUUGGAGCGGCCGAUGUCGGAUUAGCUAGUUGGUGGGGUAAAGGCCUACCAAGGCGACGAUCCGUAGCGGGUCUGAGAGGAUGAUCCGCCACACUGGAACUGAGACACGGUCCAGACUCCUACGGGAGGCAGCAGUGGGGAAUUUUGGACAAUGGGCGCAAGCCUGAUCCAGCCAUGCCGCGUGAGUGAAGAAGGCCUUGCGGGUUGUAAAGCUCUUUCGCGCCGGGAAGAAAUCGUGGUGGCGAAUACCCUGCCAUGGAUGACGGUACCGGACUAAGAAGCACCGGCUAACUUACGUGCCAGCAGCCCGCGGUAAUACGUAGGGUGCGAGCGUUAAUCGGAAUUACUGGGCGUAAAGCGUGCGCAGGCGGUUGUGUAAGACAGGCGUGAAAUCCCCGGGCUCAACCUGGGAACUGCGCUUGUGACUGCACGGCUAGAGUACGGCAGAGGGGGGUGGAAUUCCACGUGUAGCAGUGAAAUGCGUAGAGAUGUGGAGGAACACCGAUGGCGAAGGCAGCCCCCUGGGUCGAUACUGACGCUCAUGCACGAAAGCGUGGGGAGCAAACAGGAUUAGAUACCCUGGUAGUCCACGCCCUAAACGAUGUCGACUAGUUGUUGGAGGGGUAAAACCCUUUAGUAACGUAGCUAACGCGUGAAGUCGACCGCCUGGGGAGUACGGCCGCAAGGUUAAAACUCAAAGGAAUUGACGGGGACCCGCACAAGCGGUGGAUGAUGUGGAUUAAUUCGAUGCAACGCGAAAAACCUUACCUACCCUUGACAU